CGUAGACUUGCCACAAGUCGACCAUGGGGGAGGGAGGACGCGGGGGAGAGAAGGCGCGACCCGAGCGACGAAGUCGCGAGUGGUCGACUUGUGUCCCUUGCAGGAAUUUAAAUCGCAUUAAAAAUUUUGGCGCGAAUAAUUUUGACAUAAAAUGGGUGUGUACAUUUCAUACAAUUACUUCACCGCGCCGACAAUUGGUCUACAAAAACACAAAAACAUUCUCAAGAAUUGAUAUUUCUUUGUCCUCGAAUGAAACAGUUUGCACCGAGUGUGGAAACGAAAUAACUUACCUAAGUAAGCGCCGAAAGCUGUUCAAUGUAUCAACAAAAACGAGUGAAUGUAAAAACUUAUUGAAUCUGGACAGUUGUUUGUCUAACAAUGUGUGCCGUAUUAAUUGUGUUGACAGGAAUAGUAAUUUAUUAGAUUUAUUAUAGAAAGUUGAUUCAGUUCGCCAGCGAUUUAACGUAGUAGAAGUUAAUCUAAUUAAAAAGAAUCAGACAACUGUAACCGAGAAGCAGAGCCAGAGAGGCGGCGAUUGUGGUCAACGAGAAGACGUCGCCAGAGUUCAAAAUCCGGUAAAAAUACGCGUUGUUUUCUCAACAAAUGAUUUUGUAUUAAUAAUCAGUAAUCGAGAUCAAGAAACCCAAACUAAACCCGAAACUAGUGAGGAAAUUUUAGAAUCAUUAGAUGCAUCUUCGGUACGUGACAGUUUAUUUCGACAUCCUGUACUUUUAAAUAUACUC